AAUGAACGCUGGCGGCAUGCCUUACACAUGCAAGUCGAACGGCAGCAUGACCUAGCUUGCUAGGUUGAUGGCGAGUGGCGAACGGGUGAGUAAUGCAUCGGAACGUGCCUUUUAGUGGGGGAUAACGUAGCGAAAGUUACGCUAAUACCGCAUAUUCUCUGAGGAGGAAAGCAGGGGGCCUUCGGGCCUUGCGCUAGAAGAGCGGCCGAUGUCGGAUUAGCUAGUUGGUGAGGUAAAGGCUCACCAAGGCAACGAUCCGUAGCGGGGCUGAGAGGAUGAUCCGCCACACUGGGACUGAGACACGGCCCAGACUCCUACGGGAGGCAGCAGUGGGGAAUUUUGGACAAUGGGCGCAAGCCUGAUCCAGCCAUGCCGCGGGAGUGAAGAAGGCCUUCGGGUUGUAAAGCUCUUUCGGCUGGGAAGAAAUCGCACUCUCUAAUACAGGGUGUGGAUGACGGUACCAGCAUAAGAAGCACCGGCUAACUACGU
rnacentral:rRNA from 1 species